rnacentral:rRNA from 1 species
UACGGAGGAUGCAAGCGUUAUCCGGAUUUAUUGGGUUUAAAGGGUGCGUAGGCGGAUAUGUAAGUCAGGCGGUAGAAACUCACAGGCUCAACCUGUGCCGUGCCGUUGAAACUGUGUAUCUGGAAUGCGGAUGCUGUGGGAGGAAUGUGUAGUGUAGCGGUGAAAUGCAUAGAUAUUACACAGAACACCGAUUGCGAAGGCAUCUCACAAAGCCGUUAUUGACGCUGAGGCACGAAAGUGUGGGGAUCAAACA